CACUCUAUUUGCCUGGGGUCCCGAGGAUUACCAGUGGAGAAUAUAUAACUUUCAGGCAAAGACAGUCUUACAUCAUAUUUACGUUUGUAUUAUUAAUAAAACCUCACGCUUAAACCCACUUAGUAAAUUUAACUACUGACUGUGAAUUAACUGAAAUAAAGAAAGUUCCACAUUGACAUUAAUUCUCAGGUUCUAAAUAAUUUUGUUUCAAAACAGCUACACUGAAACAUUUCUGUUAUUUUUAGAUGUUAUCUAGGCUGAAAGGAGAGUUGUUCAGCCUGGAGAAGGCUCCAAGGAGAGCUUACAGCAUCCUUCCAGUAUCUGAAUGGGCCUAAAGGAAAGCUGGAGAGGGACUUUUUACAAGGGUGUGGAGUGACAGGAAAAGGGAGAAUGUCUUUUAACUGAAAGAGGGUAGGUUUAGGUUCGAUAGCAGGAAGAAAUUCUUUACUGUGGGAGUGAUGAGACAAUGGAACAGGUUACCCAGAGAAGCUGUAGAUGCCCCAUCCCUACAAGUGCUGAAGGCCAGGCUGGAUGGUGCUUUGAACAACCUGCUCUAGGGGACAGUAGCCCUGACCACUGCAGGGGCACGCAAAAUGAGGGGAGAGGGCACAACUAGGAGAUCUUUAAGGUCUUUUCCAACCCAAGUUAUGAUCUUUAUAAUAUGCACUAAAAGAGAUAAAAAUUUCUGCAUAUGUUUCAAAGCUUUUUAUAAGAAUCACAGAAUAUGCUGAGUUGGAAGGGCCCACAAGGACCAUCGAAGUCAAAUUCCUGGCCCUGCACAGGACAACCCCAAGAAUCACAUCAUGUGCCUGAGAGCAUUUUCCAAAUGCUUCUUGAACUCUGUCAGGAUGGUGCUGUGAACACUUCCUUGGGGAGCCUGUUCCAGCUCCCAAAUACCUUCUGGCAGAAAUAUAUUUUCUGUAUAUAUAAUCUAAACCUCCCCUGACUCAGUUUCAUGCUGUUUCUUCAAGUCCUGUCACUGGUCACAAGAGGAAAGAGAUCAGUGUCUGCCCCUCCUCUCCCCCUCAUGAGGAAGUUGUAUCUGCAGUGAGGUCUCCCCUCAGUCUCCUCUUCUCCAGGCUGAACAGACCAAGUGACCUCAGCCACUCCUCACACAGCUUCCCCUCAAGGCCCUUCACCUUCCUUGUGGCUCUCCUCUGGAUGCUUUCUCAUAUCUUUGUAUCUUUCUUAUAUUGUGGAACACAAAACUGGCCAGAAUAUUCACAAUGAGCCUGUCCCAGAGCAGAGUAGGGCUGGACAAUCCCCUCCCUUGCCCAGCUGGCGAUGCUGUGCCUGAUGCACCCCAGGACACAGGUGAUCCUCCUGGCUGCCAGGGCACUGCUGACUCACAUUCAACUGGCCCUGGACCAGGACCCCCAGGUCCCUUUCUGUGGGGCUGCUUUCCAGCAUCCCAUUCCUCAGUCUGUACCUACAUCCAGGGCUCCCUUGCAGGUAGACAGAAUACAGACUUGCCUCCCUUUUCCUAAUAUCCUAUACAGUCCUCCCACUGUAUCUAGCAUCACACUUGGCCCUCUACACUACAUUAAAGUACAUUCAUUGUCAGCUUUUAAUAUAGAUUGCCUUAAACUACAAAAGAGACCCUAAAAUUAAGGUUGUAUAUCCUACAGCAGGAAAAGAAAGAUUACAAUCUCUAUGCCAAUUGCCUCAGAUUCCCUUCUACCCUAAGGACUCAUAUUUCACUGGGGUUUUUUUGUACCUAUAGCCUGGUAUCACUAACCUUAAUCCAUAAAAUAUAGUGUCAGGCACGUCUCAGUUGACAUUAGGUACACAGAUGUGUGCAGCAUGCACAGAAGUCAAGCACACAUCCUUCAGACUUUGCAGCAUUAUUUGUCAGCUUCUCCCUGACCUCAGGGGAACUAGUCCAUUGACAUUCACUGAAAACUCUCCACUAUUUGUUUUGGUUUCCCUUUUGUUUUGUUUUGGUUGGCCAAGAGAAAUUCCUGUAAAUGUUAAAAAAUAAAACCCUUGCUAUGACAUGGACCUGGUCCAUUUUAGUCCAUUCCUCUCUCCUUCACCUUGUGCCAUGGGCAGGCUCAGGCCCUCACCACUGUCCUUACCAGCCUCUGCCACGAGCAGGGCUGGUCACCAGCAUGUGACCCCACCAGGCUGUCCACCAUACACGCAACAAAACCCCAAUUUUGCCAGGUUUAGAGAGCUGCAAAAAGACUUUUGUGACUCAAUCAGGGUUUAUUAUAGGCCAUUUGAAAAAUCUUUCCCUGGAAUACAGCCCACAACAAGAGACAGGCUAUAUUGCAUGGAAACUGGGAAGGGCAAUGUGCUGUAAGGAAAAAAUUACAUGAGAUCUGCUUCCCUUUUCUCCCCACCUUCUCAUUUCCCCACUCCUUUCCUAGGUCUUCUCUUUCUUUCCUGGCUCCCAGGAGAAUUCCCAGCCAACAAAGCAGCGAGCAACGGUGGAAUCAGCAGUGUGUUGUGGCUCAGAUCAAAGGCUGUGACUAAAAGGAAUGUAGAGCCAAACCCAGAAACAAGUGGCAAUGAAGACCUAAAACCACCAGAAAUUACCACAUACAGCUCCAACCAUCAUGUACUGCACAAGGGGAUGGCCAGAAAAGCAUGUGUGAUGGCACAGGUUGCAUGAGGAAGUUGGACUCAGUUACAGCAGUUCUGUAUGUAAGUGCAACCAGGUUUAAAAACAGCUCUUCAUAUCAUCAUGUGAGCAAGCAGCACAGGAAGGCAGUGGUCCACCUGUGUCUUACCACUUCCACCAUCUUUCCUUCUAGGUCUUUCAUAGGCUAUCAAACUCUCAUCUUCUGCUACCAUUAAAUUCCAAGAAAACUGUCUUUUCCUGUGUUGUACCUGAAACUCUAUAAAGGCACCAUGCUGCUCUUCUUCCCCCUUUCCCUAAACAUUAUAUUUGAGCGCCACAAAAAUUUAAAAGACAAAUAACAGAGAGACUAGAGAACCCACUUCAUCACACUAGAUGGUAUUACUUCACAUAUCUAGAUAUCCCACUUCUGCUUGUAACUCUUCAUCACUUCAUCCUACACAUCACAACAGAAACAUGGGACUUCUUUUUUUGCUGCAUUUCCUGAUCCCACAUGAGAGACUAAAACCAGAACUUCAAAAUCUUACUGUGAGGAAGGAAAUGGAGCACAGUAUUUGCACUAACUUUCCACAAUUGCAAAAGCCUGAGCUUACCAUUUCAGAAGCAUGUGCACUAGGCUUUUUCUCAGACUAAUACUGAUCCAUACGAGUCAGGGAUAUCAUUAUAGCACAGCAACAGGAAUUAAAACAGGCACAGGUAUGUAGCAAAUACAAUUCUUUAAAAAUUGGAAAACUGGUUAAAGCAUAUGUGGAAUAAAACUUUGUUCCUUUUCUGGGUCAAAAGCAUUUUCUUUGGUUCAAAAUAGUUAAUGUAGAUAUUAAAAAAAUUAGUGAGUUAUUAUUUACUACCAAAAUAUAGUUACAGUACUGAGGUUUUCCAUUCCCAGUUAGUCCAUACAAAAUGCUUUCUAAAGUGCCACAAAGAGGGAAAUGACAGCUUUUUUUUUUUUUUUUUUUUUUUUUUUUUUUUUUUUUUUGUGUGUGUGUGAGUAUAAUGAUGUAUUCCUUUGUGCAUUUCUUGAGCUUGGAGAAAUGAAACUAGUAAAAUCAGACAUUUAAUCUUUGUGUUACUUUUUUUUUCUGAGUUGCUCUUCUUAACCAAACAGUUACUUCUUGGGGAGUUGUUGAGGACAUUAUGGUGGGAUGUAUUUUCUGUGGGUUUGCCUUAGAGGUUUGUCAAUUGUCUUCAUGACAGCUGAGGGAGAACUUCCCCUAUAACGCAAUUUAUUGCAACAACAAAAAGUAUUUUGCCUCUUUACAAACUUCUCAGGAAUAAACAGAAUUGUUAAUCUAAUCAAAAACUCAUUCCCAUUGAGAUAAUGAACAGUGGAAAUACUUGGGGGAGGAGGAGCAAAUUCUUCCUUUUAAACAAUUGAAUAAGGGUUUGUCAAUAUUAAGCCUAUGAAGCUGGUCACAGCUGAGUUCAAAACAAGCAUUUGUUGAUUAAUAAUGUUUGCUUUCAAGUUAUUAAAUUAAUAAUACAAUGGAUAAUUCCUGCACUAACUUUGUUAUGCCUCUGAUAUUAAUCUUUGCAACAGAUCUCUGUACCAUUAUAAACCAAUUUAAGUAUAGAAUGGAGGCCUCAGAAUAAGAAAAUGUAAGGGGUUUAAGUCAAACAAGUUGAAUGCUAUCUUGGAGCAAUGUAUAGUGACAUAAAACUUAGAAUUCCCUCAGACACAUUGUGCAUUUAUCUGUAACCUUCCUUGAUUCCUGCUCAUUUAAUUUACCUGAUGUUAUCCACAGUCAUCAUCAACUUCAGAAUCCAUGUGGGUAAAAUCUUGGCUCUCUUGCAGUCUCAAAUUUUCUAUGACAACAGAAAUUGAGAACAGUGCAAUUACUGCAGUCAUAUAUAGGAUUACUUCUGUUAAAGUCAAAUGGCAAGAUAAAUUCUCCAGUAUCUUUUGCAUCUAAUGGGGUUUCGCUGUGUUCCAGUGCAGUGUUAAGAAAUGAUAGGUCUCCCAAGGAAGCAGAUCUUGUGCUCUGAGGCCACAGGUAAGUCCUGACUGCUACAGGCAGAUUGCACCACUGUCUUAGCCAGUCUUUGGUUAAACAAAACACUGCAGAACAACAACAACAACCAAAAAAAAAAAAAAAAAAAAGAAAAGAAAAACAAA
ensembl:lncRNA